rnacentral:misc_RNA from 1 species
CAACUAACCGAACCACUUCAGUAGCUCGAGUUCUAAAACGCUUGCCAUCAUCUCCAAGAACAAGGCCAAAUCCAACAUGGCUAGCUUUAGGAAACAUACUAUCACCAGCUGGGAGCCAACCCGCACGUUUGGCAGCUUUGAAUACCAUAUCAAAGUGCUGCUGCUGACCAACAUCAGUAACAUAUAUAAUCCACUCAGCUUUAUCUUCAUUAAGGCGAUACCAAAGGGCAGCUAGAUCAGUAGAAGCAUAGUUGUAACCACCAUCACUCUUCACAACAAUAAGAGGUAUAUUAAUUCCUUCAAUAAAGAUCACGCGAGCACCUUCACUUUCUUGAACUAAUCCUUUCUUUAUUGCUUAAUCCCUCUAUAACCCCAGGAAUGAAUGGAUUGUAAAAGCUUUCUCCCUUUUCCUCAAGAUGAACUCCAAGGCGUUGAUAGACCUUAUCGAACUCCUUCCUGCUG